rnacentral:rRNA from 1 species
CCGGUGCUUAUUCUGCCGGUACCGUCAUCCCACCAAUGUAUUAGGGCCAUGGCUUUCUUCCCGGACAAAAGUGCUUUACAACCCGAAGGCCUUCUUCACACACGCGGGAUGGCUGGAUCAGGCUUUCGCCCAUUGUCCAAUAUUCCCCACUGCUGCCUCCCGUAGGAGUCUGGGCCGUGUCUCAGUCCCAGUGUGGCUGAUCGUCCUCUCAGACCAGUUACGGAUCGUCGGCUUGGUGGGCCAUUACCCCACCAACUAGCUAAUCAGACUCGGCUAAUCUGAUAGGCAAGGCCGA